UACAGAGGGUGCUAGCGUUGUUCGGAAUCAUUGGGCGUAAAGAGCGUGUAGGCGGCCCGGUAAGUCCGCUGUGAAAGUCCAGGGCUCAACCCUGGGAUGCCGGUGGAUACUGUCGGGCUCGAGUCCGGAAGAGGAGUGUGGAAUUCCUGGUGUAGCGGUGAAAUGCGCAGAUAUCAGGAGGAACACCAAUGGCGAAGGCAGCACUCUGGGACGUGACUGACGCUGAGACGCGAAAGCGUGGGGAGCAAACAGG
rnacentral:rRNA from 1 species